UUCAAUGCUGUUUCAAAACAAAUUGAAUUGUAAUUAGUUUUUUCUCGUUUUUCUGUAGGUAAGGCUUACACUUAACAUGAGUCGCCACGCCUGCUGAUUGUGAAAAAAUACAGCUAAUUAUUGUUAAAUCAUUUUUAGAGUUAAAUCUAUCAAUAUUUAUGUGUAAACAUUAGAUAAAUUUAUAUCAAUUAUAAUGGAAGUAAAUAAAGCAAUUAAACUGAUUAUUUGGAUGGUGUUAAUUAAUCAUAAUGAAAGUGUGAGUGUGUUACCUAAACCCAUACAGAAAUACAUAUAUGGAUACUUAUGCGGAUCAGAUUUCGAAAACUACGCAACGAGAAUUCUAUUUUGGCAGGCACAGAAAAGGAAACCUACACUUUCCGUGCUACACGAGGGUAAAUGCAAAAAAAUAUGCCAAAUCUAUGCCCCUGUUUGCGCUAACAACGGGAAAACGUAUCACAAUGAAUGCCAGCUGGAAUAUGCGAUGAAAAAAUAUGAUAACAGACUCCGGGCGAAAUAUAAGGGACGUUGCUCUCCAUUCAAAGUCUUGUCUGGAUCAUCUGAUAGCAAUCAAAAUCUAUUUCACUUUGAUUAUUACUUCGGAACAACAGAUGAAGAUCCUUACUCUAGAGAUUGCCUAAUUCACUGCUGAAAUGUAGCAAUAAUUUAACACUGAAUGUAUCUUUGAGAUAAUUAUAAAAUAUUAUGUCAUUUACUUAAAUAAAACAAUAGUUACUUUAAAAA